rnacentral:rRNA from 1 species
UGGGGAAUAUUGGACAAUGGACCAAGAGUCUGAUCCAGCAAUUCUGUGUGCACGAUGACGUUUUUCGGAAUGUAAAGUGCUUUCAGUUGGGAAGAAGAAAAUGACGGUACCAACAGAAGAAGUGACGGCUAAAUACGUGCCAGCAGCCGCGGUAAUACGUAUGUCACGAGCGUUAUCCGGAUUUAUUGGGCGUAAAGCGCGUCUAGGUGGUUAUGUAAGUCUGAUGUGAAAAUGCAGGGCUCAACUCUGUAUUGCGUUGGAAACUGUGUAACUAGAGUACUGGAGAGGUAAGCGGAACUACAAGUGUAGAGGUGAAAUUCGUAGAUAUUUGUAGGAAUGCCGAUGGGGAAGCCAGCUUACUGGACAGAUACUGACGCUGAAGCGCGAAAGCGUGGGUAGCAAACAGGAUUAGAUACCCUGGUAGUCCACGCCGUAACGAUGAUUACUAGGUGUUGGGGGUCGAACCUCAGCGCCCAAGCAAACGCGAUAAGUAAUCCGCCUGGGGAGUACGUACGCAAGUAU